GCCUGGCUGGCUCAGUAGGUGGAGCAAGUGACUCUUGAUCUUUAGGCUGUGAGUUCCAGCCCCAUGUUGGGUG
rnacentral:tRNA from 1 species